GGGUCAGCGACUUAUAUUUUGUAGCGAGGUUAACCGAAUAGGGGAGCCGAAGGGAAACCGAGUCUUAACUGGGCGUCUAGUUGCAAGGUAUAGACCCGAAACCCGGUGAUCUAGCCAUGGGCAGGUUGAAGGUUGGGUAACACUAACUGGAGGACCGAACCGACUAAUGUUGAAAAAUUAGCGGAUGACUUGUGGCUGGGGGUGAAAGGCCAAUCAAACCGGGAGAUAGCUGGUUCUCCCCGAAAUCUAUUUAGGUAGAGCCUUGAGCGGACACCUUCGGGGGUAGAGCACUGUUUCGGCUAGGGGUCCAUCCCGGAUUACCAACCCGAUGCAAACUACGAAUACCGAAGAGUGAUACUCAGGAGACACACGGCGGGUGCUAACGUCCGUCGUGAAGAGGGAAACAACCCAGACCGCCAGCUAAGGUCCCAAAGUCUAUAUUAAGUGGGAAACGAAGUGGGAAGGCUUAGACAGCUAGGAUGUUGGCUUAGAAGCAGCCAUCAUUUAAAGAAAGCGUAAUAGCUCACUAGUCGAGUCGGCCUGCGCGGAAGAUGUAACGGGGCUAAGUCAAUAACCGAAGCCGCGGAUUCACACUUAUGUGUGAGUGGUAGGGGAGCGUUCUGUAAGCCUGCGAAGGUGACUCGUAAGGGUUGCUGGAGGUAUCAGAAGUGCGAAUGCUGACAUGAGUAACGUUAAAGCGGGUGAAAAGCCCGCUCGCCGUAAGCCCAAGGUUUCCUGCUCUACGUUCAUCGGAGCAGGGUGAGUCGGCCCCUAAGGUGAGGCUGAGAAGCGUAACUGAUGGGAACAAGGUUAAUAUUCCUUGACCACCGCUGAAUGCGAAGGGGGGACGGAGUAUUGAAGAUCAUCCGGGUGUUGGAUAUCCCGGUUUGCGAGCGUAGGAGGCUGACAGGCAAAUCCGUCAGCGAAUCUCCGAGGCAAAGCAUCGAGCUCUCUUUUGAGCGAAGUGAUUGGAUGUGCUUCCAGGAAAAGCCUCUAAGCUCCAGUUCAGCGGGACCGUACCGCAAACCGACACUGGUGGGCGAGCUGAAUAUGCUCAGGCGCUUGAGAGAACUCAGGAGAAGGAACUCGGCAAAUUGACACCGUAACUUCGGGAUAAGGUGUGCCUUUGUAGCGUGGAGGGAGAAACACCCCGAGCGCGAAGAGGUCUCAGAUAAUCGGUGGCUGCGACUGUUUAUUAAAAACACAGCACUCUGCAAAGACGAAAGUCGACGUAUAGGGUGUGAUGCCUGCCCGGUGCUGGAAGAUUAAUUGAUGGGGUGCAAGCUCCUGAUCGAAGUCCCAGUAAACGGCGGCCGUAACUAUAACGGUCCUAAGGUAGCGAAAUUCCUUGUC
rnacentral:rRNA from 1 species